CCUACGGGCGACAGCAGUGGGGAAUAUUGGGCAAUGGGCGCAAGCCUGACCCAGCAACGCCGCGUGAAGGAAGAAGGCUUUCGGGUUGUAAACUUCUUUUAUCAGGGACGAAGCAAGUGACGGUACCUGAUGAAUAAGCCACGGCUAACUACGUGCCAGCAGCCGCGGUAAUACGUAGGUGGCAAGCGUUAUCCGGAUUUACUGGGGGUAAAGGGCGUGUAGGCGGGAAAGCAAGUCAGAUGUGAAAACCAUGGGCUCAACCUGUGGCCUGCAUUUGAAACUGUUUUUCUUGAGUACUGGAGAGGCAGACGGAAUUCCUAGUGUAGCGGUGAAAUGCGUAGAUAUUAGGAGGAACACCAGUGGCGAAGGCGGUCUGCUGGACAGCAACUGACGCUGAGGCGCGAAAGCGUGGGGAGCAAACAGGAUUAGAUACCCGGGUAGUC
rnacentral:rRNA from 1 species